GUCCCCAUCGUCUAGGCCGGCCUAGGACACCGCCCUUUCACGGCGGCAACACGGGUUCGAAUCCCGUUGGGGACGCCA
rnacentral:tRNA from 1 species